CCUACGGGAGGCAGCAGUGGGGAAUAUUGGACAAUGGGGGCAACCCUGAUCCAGCCAUGCCGCGGGUGUGAAGAAGGCCCUCGGGUUGUAAAGCACUUUCAGUGAGGAAGAACGCCUGGUGGUUAAUACCCAUCAGGAAAGACAUCACUCACAGAAGAAGCACCGGCUAACUCCGUGCCAGCAGCCGCGGUAAUACGGAGGGUGCGAGCGUUAAUCGGAAUUACUGGGCGUAAAGCGCGCGUAGGUGGCUUGAUAAGCCGGUUGUGAAAGCCCCGGGCUCAACCUGGGAACGGCAUCCGGAACUGUCAAGCUAGAGUGCAGGAGAGGAAGGUAGAAUUCCCGGUGUAGCGGUGAAAUGCGUAGAGAUCGGGAGGAAUACCAGUGGCGAAGGCGGCCUUCUGGACUGACACUGACACUGAGGUGCGAAAGCGUGGGUAGCAAACAGGAUUAGAUACCCUUGUAGUC
rnacentral:rRNA from 1 species